rnacentral:rRNA from 1 species
CCUACGGGUGGCAGCAGUGAGGGAUAUUGGUCAAUGGGCGCGAGCCUGAACCAGCCAAGUAGCGUGAAGGAUGACUGACCUACGUGUGGUAAGCUUCUUUUGUAGGGGAAUAAAGUGAGGCACGUGUGCCUUUUUGUGUGUACUUUAUGAAUAAGCAUCGGCUAACUCCGUGCCAGCAGCCGCGGUAAUACGGAGGAUCCAAGCGUUAUCCGGAUUUAUUGGGUGUAAAGGGAGCGUAGAUGGGUUGUUAAGUCAGUUGUGAAAGUUUGCGGCUCAACCGUAAAAUUGCAAUUGAUACUGGAAGCCUUGAGUACAGUUGAGGUAGGCGGAAUUCGUGGUGUAGCGGUGAAAUGCUUAGAUAUUACGAAGAACGCCGAUGGCGAAGGCAGCCUACUAAACUGUAACUGACAUUGAGGCUCGAAAGUGUGGGGAGCAAACAGGAUUAGAUACCCGGGUAGUC